rnacentral:lncRNA from 1 species
GUUUUGUUGUAAUCCAGAAAUCUUAAAUUGUCACUCUCUAAUGGAACAAGAAAUGGGUAUUCUAAAUUCAUAAAGAUUUAUAAACAUUCACUGCUGCCAGCUGACAGAUAUAUGCAUCACCUGCGGUUUUCUCAUUCUUCAGUUCUCUCCUAUGAGCCAUGGGAAAAUGAUGUUCUUGCACCCUUCCUGCAGGGGUGAGAAAUCUUAAGAAGGUCAAGUUAGAGAGUCUAAGUGAACUGGAUGACUGAAAAUGAACCAGCGGGGAAGAACAAACCACUUAAUUUGAUAAAUCACGACACAAAAAUAUUGCACAGGAGAUUCCAUUGUGGAUCAUUACUUGCCUUGUGUUUGACAGGGUAGGCACUGGAUGGUUUUAUUGUAGGGCCCAGGACCUGUUGUGUGGCAUCAGAGUAAUGUAAAAUAUUCUGGUUUUGAAUAGUCAGUCCAAGACAAAGGGGUUGUCAGAAAACACUUUUUCUUCCUCAGGGGAGAAGCUGAUGUUUUAUUACAAAAAGCAAUACCCUCCACCCAUACGGAAGCAACACAUAAACCUCUUAAAACUGCAUUUUGGGAUACUGCCUGCAAAGAAGAAAGUUAGCAUUCAGUCCUGAAAAUGGCUUAAAGAGACCCUGGUGGCAGCAGUGGGCAGCGAGCACAUCCAGCUCUGGAGUGCAGAAUGUGGGGAUGCCACCAGGGAUUGAAACAGAAGAGUACUGGAAGAAACAUUUCGUUAUUAAUCAGGCAUAAUAUGCCAGUGGGGGAAAUUAUUAUUCCAGUGCUUCUGGAUGGAAGUUUCAUGCACAUGAAGUAUUGAUGAGUUCUGUUGAAAUUUCC